GACGAACGCUGGCGGCGUGCCUAAUACAUGCAAGUAGAACGCUGAAGGAGGAGCUUGCUUCUCUGGAUGAGUUGCGAACGGGUGAGUAACGCGUAGGUAACCUGCCUGGUAGUGGGGGAUAACUAUUGGAAACGAUAGCUAAUACCGCAUAAUAGCAGUUGUUGCAUGAUAACUGUUUGAAAGGUGCAAUUGCACCGCUACCAGAUGGACCUGCGUUGUAUUAGCUAGUUGGUGGGGUAACGGCUCACCAAGGCGACGAUACAUAGCCGACCUGAGAGGGUGAUCGGCCACACUGGGACUGAGACACGGCCCAGACUCCUACGGGAGGCAGCAGUAGGGAAUCUUCGGCAAUGGACGGAAGUCUGACUGAGCAACGCCGCGUGAGUGAAGAAGGUUUUCGGAUCGUAAAGCUCGGUUGUAAGAGAAGAACGAGUGUGAGAGUGGAAAGUUCACACUGUGACGGUAUCUUACCAGAAAGGGACGGCUAACUACGUG
rnacentral:rRNA from 1 species